UGGUUAUUUAUUUUAUUUAGUGAGUGAAUUAUUCCACUAAUUCUUUUAGCUGGCCAUAUUGAUUAAAUGCUAAGAUAAGUUAAUCUUAUCUUUUAUUAGAUUAUCAUUAAGGUGAAUAAGAACAAAACCACUUUUAUCUUUCUCUCUCUCUAACCAUUCGACCUCAAGAGAACCAGAAGGAACUAGGGUGUUCUUCAUCAGAUUUUGGUGAACUGUAGUUAAAUUCAAGGGGUGAAGAUCCAAAGGUAAAGGAAAGUCUAAGACUUAGUGAGUCUAGAGCUCAAGGAUGAUUGAACAUGUCGAGAUGGUUAAAGCUGAAGAGUUUGAUCAAAGGAUGACUUGGACCUUAUUUUGUAGUCGUUGUGCGACAUGUUUAUAGAGUAUAUUUUGAAUGUGUUUGUAAAUUUUAAAGACGGGAUCCCGAAUUGAAUGUUUGGAUAUAUAUGUAUUACAAAAGUUUAAAGUUUAAUUAAAAAGUUUAAAUUUGACAUGA